ensembl:lncRNA
CCUGCUUCUAACUUCUGUAAACCAACCAGGUUCUCUGCAUCUGCACCACUGCAGUAGUUCCCACACCUUUUCUGUCGGGGCCCCUUUGAGGAAGCAGACGGUUUGGCACUAAACUGAUUACUAUCAACAACUUCUCCAUUUACACUAUAUGAGUCACGGCCCAAUAGGGCGAUGAGCCAACACGCUUGAACCCCAAAGACGUGAAGCUUUAUGAUUGGUCGGUAGAACAGUAGAGUGGGAGUUUAGUCAGUCUAUUUCAUUUCUGUAAGAGUGUACUCAUAAUCAGAUGAAUGGUGUUUCAGGUCCUUCACACGUGUGAACGCACCUUCACAGAGAAAGAGAAAGAACCAGCACGUGGUCUGAGACCGUUAUUUUAUUCUUAACUUUGUAAAUGAGUUCUGAUGAACUUCACAGACUGAGGAGUUUACUUGUUGAAGAGAUUCAGAUCACAGGACUCAAGACGUCCAAGGGAGGAGAUGAUCUGCAGCAUCCUGGUGAUCUUCAUCCUGACCUCCUGUGUCUGUGGUCGGUUCACUUUUGUGUUUGUGAAGCAGCUGUGAAGCAUCAGCACACACUCCUCAGAAACAUCUGGAGAUGGAGUCUAAAGGCUCCAUGUUAAAGCUGUCACUUUGUCACCUCCUCCUCUCCUUCUCUGUCUCCUCAGCAGGGUCAUUUGUAGUGAAUGUGACACAGAGCUGGUAUCAUGCAGAGGAGAACCACAACAUCUCACUGGAAUGGAUGUUCCCCACCAGCACGGACCCCUCCCCCAACGUCCUUCAUGUCUACUGUGUGAUGUUAGCUGAUGAGAGACCCUCACUCAUGUUUCAUCUGUAUGAAGGUGUCGAGGUCCCACAGAUUCAGGAUGAACGCUUUACAGGACGACUCCAGUGGGACAAAGACGUCCUCAGAGAAGGACGACUCAGACUUCACAUCUCCAGACUCCAGACUAAUGACUCGGGGCUGUACUGGUGUCAAGUGGACACAAGUUAUGGGAAGAACUUUAAGGAAUGUCACCUCAAGGUCACUGUGAAGGAUCGACCCGAACCUGAGACAACGAGUGACACCAGACUGAGAAGAGAAAGGGAAAGCAUCGUUCUCUACUGUGCACUGGGACUGACAGCAGCUCUACUGGGAUGUUUCUUUAUUUUCUAUCUGCAUAUCAAAGAAAGAUUAGUGAUCAGCACAACAAAUGAUACAUCGUUGUUAAAUUCAUCUAAGUUUUUGCACAGAAAGUGUCCAACGUCUGACAUCAAAGUAUAAAUGUGUGAUAAUUUACUGUGUACAAGUCAAAUUAAAUGUUUUCGUUACAUCUCUUUCUUUUUUUAUCAGAAGAACAGAGACCGACCUUCGUGAUCUACCAUUUAAUAUUCUGCUUUUACGAGAAAUUAUUUUCCUUACGUUACGUAAAGAAUUUAAAGAGUCUCUUGCAUCAUCUUUAAAACUGCUUUAAUCCACCACAUGAGGGAUGACGUGUGCGUGUACUCCAGUUUACGCUGUGAAUAAACAAUGAGGACACGUGAAGGACAGACGUUAUGAGGCAUGAUGGGACAUAUCUAGCAGCUUGGGGACCAAUGGGUGUCCAUCAGGGAGCAGAUGUUCAACUAGAUGACGAUACCCAUAGACAUAAUAUACAUAGACGCCGCAUUGGCUUCGGGUCGCGAGAAACAAGGCCGCCAUCUUGUAGCGGUGGUGCUCGUAGUAGCGUAGCAGCAGAAGAUGCAGGAGGCCACAGCACUGUGCUGCUUAUUUCUGCGCUAAUCG